GGCACUAUGGCGGAGUGGUUAUCGCGUGGCACUCGAACUUUUAUCAGCUCGAGAGUGAAUUCUUCUACUCACCAAAAACAUAUGCCAUUCCCUCUGGGAGCACAGGUUCAAAUCCUGUUGGUGUCG